rnacentral:rRNA from 1 species
GAUGAACGCUAGCGAGACGCUUAACACAUGCAAGUCGAAUGCUGAUUUAUCAGCAUGGCAGACGGGUGAGUAACACGUGCUUAAUUUGCCCCGGAGUGGGGGACAAACAUCGGAAACGGUGAUAAUCCCGCAUACGUUCCACAAAAUGAAAAAUAUGUGGAAGAAAGAUUUAUCGCUCUGGGAGGAGGGCGCGUCUGACUAGUUAGUUGGUGAGGUAAUGGCUCACCAAGACGAUGAUCAGUAGCUGGUCUGAGAGGACGAACAGCCACAAUGGGACUGAGACAAGGCCCAUACCCCUACGGGGGGCAGCAGUGGGGAAUCUUGCGCAAUGGACGAAAGUCUGACGCAGCGAUCUCGCGUGAAGGAUGAAGCUUUGCGGAGUGUAAACUUCUUUUCUGGGAGAAAACAACUGAAUGGUAAUCUCAGGAAUAAGGGACGGCUAACUACGUG